rnacentral:rRNA from 1 species
GACGAACGCUGGCGGCGUGCCUAGUACAUGCAAGUAGAACGCACAGUUUAUACCGUAGCUUGCUACACCAUAGACUGUGAGUUGCGAACGGGUGAGUAACGCGUAGGUAACCUGCCUGGUAGCGGGGGAUAACUAUUGGAAACGAUAGCUAAUACCGCAUAAUAUUAAUUAUUGCAUGAUAAUUAAUUGAAAGGUGCAAUUGCACCACUACCAGAUGGACCUGCGUUGUAUUAGCUAGUAGGUGAGGUAACGGCUCACCUAGGCGACGAUACAUAGCCGACCUGAGAGGGUGAUCGGCCACACUGGGACUGAGACACGGCCCAGACUCCUACGGGAGGCAGCAGUAGGGAAUCUUCGGCAAUGGACGAAAGUCUGACCGAGCAACGCCGCGUGAGUGAAGAAGGGUUUCGGAUCGUAAAGCUCUGUUGUAAGAGAAGAACGGGUGUGAGAGUGGAAAGUUCACACUGUGACGGUAGCUUACCAGAAAGGGACGGCUAACUACGUG